rnacentral:lncRNA from 1 species
AAAAACAGUGUCACUGCCUCUAUCGGGAAUUCUAAAGCUGGCACAACGGUAACCGUGGAUGGGGCUCGAAUUGCCUUCUUUAGGAAGUGAAGUUUCUUUAGGAACCACAGCAAAAACAAGACAACCUCAAAUGAGGCAUUUGGAAUUGGACUGGCUAAGCUAGAGAUGCCUCAGGACAAACUGGGAAGCCACCUGUGGAAGACGGCAGAGCCUCUCCCAGCUUGGGUUCCUGAAUGACUGGAUGAAAGGGGCUGUAAACCUGUCCAUCUACCCAGUGUUGUAUACCAGCCAUCCUUACUAGCAAUGGUUGACGUGUUCAUAAUCUCUCACUGGGUAUGUAGCUCCGCAGGGGCUUUGGUGUGCCUGUCAGCAAGAGGUGGAUCCUGCAGAGAACUCGAGAGAAGAAAGCUAAACAGCAAUUCACUUUAAUCUGUGCUUUGCAUUCAGAUGAAUAUGCAAAUCGGUUCAGUGAAGUGAACCUGGUUAGAACAUCACUCUGAAACUCGUGCUAAAUUAUUUGAAAUGGGCAGAAUACAGACCAGCUCAUGACUUUAAUUUCUCUUUUGUGGAUCAUGUGGUUUUAGUGUCAUUUUAAAGUGCUCCUGAUUAGUCCAUUCUAAGGACAUGCAUGAGGGAUAAAAAUAUUUGCUUCGUUAUGCAUAUUUUCUAUGAGGUAUACAUAUCUGUCUUUUAUAUACAUUUUACAUAAAUUUAAAUUUAAAUAUAUAUAUGAUACUAAACAGUAAAAACAUAUUGUAUGUGUGUGUGUAUAUAUAUAUAUGAGUGUGUGUAUAUGUGUUGACGUUCUCUCUUUCCAGGUUUUCUUAGAGGAGAAUAACAUUAUUCAAUCUUUGGAUCUAAUACGUGAAUUUCGUUUACUAAUCUAUACAUUUAUUCGUUCUUUUACCCAUUCUUCUAUGCACUAGGUGGCAAGGAGUUUAAAUAAGAAAUGCUUUUAAAAAAAAUAAAAAUUCAUUUUAAAAAAAAUAAAAUAAAUUUUUUUGAAAAACAAUAAGGAGGAAGAAAAACAUAAGAAG